GGGAUUAACGCUGGCGGCGUGCCUAACACAUGCAAGUCGAACGAGGUAGCAAUACCUAGUGGCAGACGGGUGAGUAACACGUGGUCAACCUACCCUCAAGUGGGGGAUAACUAGCCGAAAGGUUAGCUAAUACCGCAUGAAACGUGCCGGGGCAUCCCGGAACGUUAAAAGGAGCAAUCCGCUCGAGGACGGGACCGCGCCCGAUUAGCUAGUUGGUGGGGUAAUGGCCUACCAAGGCUCCGAUCGGUAGCUGGUUUGAGAGAGCGACCAGCCACACUGGGACUGAGAAACGGCCCAGACUCCUACGGGAGGCAGCAGUGAGGAAUUUCCGCAAUGGGCGAAAGCCUGACGGAGCGACGCCGUGUGUGUGAUGAAGGCCUUCGGGUUGUAAAGCACUGUCGGAGGGGAAGAAUGAAUGACGGUACCCUCCAAGAAGCCCCGGCUAACUACGUGCCAGCAGCCGC
rnacentral:rRNA from 1 species